rfam:Peptococcaceae bacterium CEB3 CEB3_contig000054, whole genome shotgun sequence.
GUCAACCACCCCAUGGCUAAAGCCAGGAGCUUGUAGGGAGCGAUCUUAACAAGCUCAGUUGACCAGCCUAAGUCCUUCGGAGACUACGUUAUCGAGGUCACGACACCCUGGAAUGCGUGCAAGUUCCAGGCAACUGUCGCUUAGCAUUAAACAGGUGUACAAGGGUUAAGCCAGUGUGUUAAGCGCAAAAAGCCCCGAUAACAUUGGCGAGGCAAACAUUAC